rnacentral:rRNA from 1 species
AGAGUUUGAUCAUGGCUCAGGAUGAACGCUGGCGGCGUGCCUAAUACAUGCAAGUCGAACGGGGUGUUUGAGCAAUCGAACACUUAGUGGCGAACGGGUGAGUAACGCGUUGGUGACCUGCCCCAAAGCGGGGGAUAACAGCCUGAAAGGGUUGCUAAUACCGCAUAUGGUCUAGAGGGCUUAGAAGCUUUAGAUUAAAGGAGAAAUCCACUUUGGGAGGGGCCUGCGUCCCAUCAGCUAGUUGGUAGGGUAAAAGCCUACCAAGGCGAUGAUGGGUAGGGGACCUGAGAGGGUGACCCCCCACAAUGGAACUGAAACACGGUCCAUACACCUACGGGUGGCAGCAGUAGGGAAUAUUGCACCAUGGGCGCAAGCCUGAUGCAGCAACGCCGCGUGAGUGAUGAAGGCCCUCGGGUCGUAAAACUCUUUUCAAGAGGAAGAGGAAGGACGGUACUCUUGGAAUAAGCCUCGGCUAACUACGUGCCAGCAGCCGCGGUAACACGUAGGAGGCGAGCGUUAUUCGGAUUUACUGGGCGUAAAGCGCGUGUAGGCGGCUUUAUAAGUUGGAUGUGAAAGCUCCCGGCUUAACUGGGAGAGGACGUUCAAAACUAUAGAGCUUGAGUACGAGAGAGGAAAAUGGAAUUCCGGGUGUAGUGGUGAAAUGCGUAGAUAUCCGGAGGAACACCAGUGGCGAAGGCGAUUUUCUGGCUCGAGACUGACGCUCAGACGCGAAAGCUAGGGUAGCAAACGGGAUUAGAGACCCCGGUAGUCCUAGCUGUAAACGAUGUAGACUA